rnacentral:rRNA from 1 species
UACGUAGGGGGCAAGCGUUGUCCGGAAUCAUUGGGCGUAAAGAGCGUGUAGGCGGCUCGGUAAGUCCGCUGUGAAAGUCCAGGGCUCAACCCUGGGAUGCCGGUGGAAACUGUCGGGCUAGAGUCCGGGAGAGGCGAGUGGAAUUCCUGGUGUAGCGGUGAAAUGCGCAGAUAUCAGGAGGAACACCAAUGGCGAAGGCAGCUCGCUGGAACGGUACUGACGCUGAGACGCGAAAGCGUGGGGAGCAAACAGG